CUGGCUGUUUAAAAAUAGCCAGAGCUUUGGGAACCAGCUGAGCGGCGGCGAACCAGCUGAGCAGCGGGGGACAGCAGAGCAGCACACAGCAGGAGUUUGCCUGGGAGUUUGCCUGGAGUGAGCCCAGUGAGGCUUACAUCUUGCCAACUUCUCUGAGGAAGCUCAUAGACAGAAGCAACUUUGUGUGCACAAAGUGCAAGCUGGUCUCCAUACUGGAAGAGAAGAUUGAAGGUCUGGAGCAACAGAUAACGACCCUGUGUUGCAUACGAGAAUCUGAGGAUUUUCUGGACAAAAGUCAGGAUAUGCUUCUACAGGCACAAAGCUCUAAAGAUUUAGAGCAGGUUGCACAGCGGAGCCAAGAGGCCAGUGAAGAAGCUUGGCAACAUGUGACUUCCAGAAGAAGAAGGGGGAAUGUCCGGGUUCCAGCAACGCGGACACAGGUAACUAACCACUUUCAUGUUCUCUCCACAGGUACCAUUGCGGAGAGUGGACCACAUGAUAUGUCUGGGGGGAGAAAGCAGAAGGAGACUCCGCUGGUUGGAAGGCAUGAGAUGCGCUGUCCUGAGAUGGGGGGUUCCAUGACCACCACUCCCAAGAGAAGGAGGCGGGUGGGUGGUGGUCGGGGACUCUCUACUCCGGGGGACUGAAUCAUCUAUCUGCCGCCCUGACUGGGAAAACCGAGAAGUCUGCUGCUUGCCGGGGGCUAAGAUUCGUGAUGUGAUGGAGAGACUGCCGAGACUCAUCAAGCCCUCGGAUCGCUACCCCUUCCUGCUUCUCCACGUGGGCACCAAUGAUACUGCCAAGAAUGACCUUGAGCGGAUCACUGCGGACUACGUGGCUCUGGGAAGAAGGAUAAAGGAGUUUGAGGCGCAAGUGGUGUUCUCGUCCAUCCUCCCCGUGGAAGGAAAUCAUAGAAUCAUAGAAUCAUAGAAUAUCAGAGUUGGAAGAGACCUCAGGAGGUCAUCUAGUCCAACCCCCGCUCAAAGCAGGACCGAUCCCCAAUUAAAUCAUCCCAACCAGGGCUUUGUCAAGCCUGACAAAGAAAAAGGCCUGGGUAGGGACCGUCGAAUAGUGGAAGUCAACGAAUGGCUACGCAGGUGGUGUCGGAGAGAAGGCUUUGGAUUCUUUGACCAUGGGAUGGUGUUCCAUGAAGGAGGAGUGCUGGGCAGAGAUGGGCUCCACCUUACGAAGAGAGGGAAGAGCAUCUUUGCGAGCAGGCUGGCUAACCUAGUGAGGAGGGCUUUAAACUAGGUUCACCAGGGGAAGGAGACCAAAGCCCUGAGGCCGCUUGGAGGGGGCUGCAGACCAGACGUGAAGAGUACUGGCAGGGCUGUGUGGGAGCCCACGGCUGAGACAGCAGGAGCUGUGGGUUGGGACUGAGACACACAAACGGAGCCGUGAGGGAUGGGGACCUACUGUAAUAACUGGGCCGACAAAUUUAGCCUAAUUUUAAGCUCAGCUGUGAAGAGUGAAAGUUUAUGAACCUUCUAUGACGUUAUUGACUUGAACUGGCACCAUAUAGGACUUGGUUGCAACAAUGUUCUAUAGUGGCACCAAAUCUUGUAUAAAGGGGGUCAAAUAAGGUGUCUAAAAUGAGGUUAUGGUUUGCUGGUUAGGAUUGUGCUGUCUAUAUGCAUGUAUCAUUUUUGUAUUUAAAGAUAUAAGUAUUGGCUCUAUACUGUGUGUAGUUCAAACUUAUGCUACGCUUCUGGGUGACACCCCAGACAAGUUGGUGUCAGCUCUGCCUAGCCUGCUGGAUGGCCCAUUAAGGACCAUCAGCAACACAACUGACCCAUUGAGAGAAGGCAGACACGCCUGAGGACUCAGCAAGGUGUGCGGGGACCUGCCUAUGGACAGAACUCUGAGGUGUUUCCAGGCCAUGUGAGGGACAGCUUGUCUUUGGAACAAAGAAAGAAAGACCACAUGGCAAGAGACUAUAAAAAGCUGCUGCAGCUCCUCCAUCUUGUCUUCAAUCCUGCUUCAUACCUCUGGAGGGACUUUGCGACACUGAAGCUUUGAACCAAGGACUGAAAGACCCAUUCCAGCGGUGGAUGUGCUCCAGAGACUUGAUUUGAAUCUGCAGUUUAUUCCAUCACUGCUGCAAGCCUGAACCAAGAACUUUGCCAUGACUGUAUGUAAUUGA